CAAUUGCAUGUUCAAUUAGCAUACAUUCCAACAGUGUGCAUGAAAAAAUUUCUAAGCCAGAGGUAUUUAAGUGAUUUCUUCCUAAGUGUUUUGGCUAAUUCAGUGGCCAAGAAACUAUGAUGUUUAUUCUCUGAUUGGACAGAGUCAAGAAACAAAACAGAUAUAAUUACCAAGGGAUAAAGCUGAUAUGACCCAGCAACAAUCUGUCAUUACUUCAGCUGUUAGUCGGUCUUCUCCCCCCACCCAGCCCC
rnacentral:lncRNA from 1 species